rnacentral:sRNA from 1 species
AGCUCCUCGGGGUCGACCCCGCGAGUGACCAGCAGGUAGUCGCGGAUGCAGAAGGCGUGGCGGCCCUC